GUGAGGAAUAUUGGUCAAUGGGCGGGAGCCUGAACCAGCCAAGUCGCGUGAAGGAAGAAGGAUCUAUGGUUCGUAAACUUCUUUUUCAGGGGAAUAAAGUGCAGGACGUGUCCUGUUUUGUAUGUACCCUGAGAAUAAGGAUCGGCUAACUCCGUGCCAGCAGCCGCGGUAAUACGGAAGAUCCGAGCGUUAUCCGGAUUUAUUGGGUUUAAAGGGUGCGUAGGUGGUUUGAUAAGUCAGCGGUGAAAGUUUGCAGCUUAACUGUAAAAAUGCCGUUGAAACUGUCGGACUUGAGUGUAAAUGAGGUAGGCGGAAUGCGUGGUGUAGCGGUGAAAUGCAUAGAUAUCACGCAGAACUCCGAUUGCGAAGGCAGCUUACUAAGCUACAACUGACACUGAAGCACGAAAGCGUGGGGAUCAAACAGGAUUAGAAACCCCGGUAGUCC
rnacentral:rRNA from 1 species